ACAACAGCCACAAUGUCGGGGCACUGCA
rnacentral:sRNA from 1 species